GCCCCGCGCCCGCGGGCAAAUAUUUGCGCGGGGCCGCCUCGGCGCUACAGUAGCGCGGGGACGCGGGGCCGCCGCCAUGCAGCCCGUGCUGGGGGUCCUGGUCGCCCUGGCCGCGGGCCUGGCCUCAGGCCACCGCUCCCCCCUCAAUGACUUCCAGCGCCUGCGAGCCACCGAGCUGCUGGCAGAGCCCGCAGACCCACCGCUGCCAUCACCGGAGCAGAGCUCUGCGGAGCAGUGUGCCCGGCGCUGUGCCACCAGCCUGGCCUGCCGGGCUUUCCACCACGACUGGCAGAGCCAGCUGUGCCAGCUGCUGCCUUGGACUCAGCACUCACCCCACAUCCAGCUGCAGAAAAACAUCCACUACGACCUGUACCAGAAGAAAGUUUUCCUGCGGGACUGCAUCGUGGCCGAUGGCUCCAGUUACCGCGGCACACGGGCCAUGACGGAGAAGGGUCUGCGCUGCCAGCACUGGCAAUCCACAACACCCCAUGACCACAGGUUCCUACCGUCACCCCACAAUGGUCUAGAGGAGAACUACUGCCGCAAUCCGGACUGGGACAAGCGGGGCCCGUGGUGUUACACCGUUGACCCCAACAUCCGACACCAGAGUUGCGGCAUCAAGAAGUGUGAGGAUGCCGUCUGCAUGACCUGCAACGGGGAGGACUACCGAGGUACCGUGGACCACACCGAGUCAGGGACAGAGUGCCAGCGCUGGGACCUGCAGCACCCACACAAGCACCCCUACCAUCCCCACAAGUACCCUGACAAGGGGCUGGACGACAACUACUGCCGCAACCCCGACAGCUCAGAGCGGCCCUGGUGCUACACCGUUGACCCUGGGCGGGAGCGCGAAUACUGCCGCAUCCGCCUGUGCACAGAGAAACGCCCACGGCCCCUCAACGUCACCACUGGCUGCUUCAGGGGCAAGGGCGAAGGCUACCGGGGCCGGGUGAACGUCACUGUGUCGGGGAUCCCCUGCCAGCGCUGGGACGCCCAGGUGCCCCACCAGCACCACUUCACACCCGAGAAGUACCCCUGCAAGGACCUGCAGGAGAACUACUGCCGCAACCCCGACGGCUCGGAGGCUCCGUGGUGCUUCACUGCCCGCUCCACCGUCCGCAUCGCCUUCUGCUUCCACAUCCACCGCUGCCCUGAUGAGCUGGGCGCCCAAGAGUGCUACUUCGGCCAUGGCGAGCACUACCACGGCCUCGUCAGCAAGACACGCAAGGGCAUCACCUGCCAGCCAUGGGCUGCCCAGACACCCCAUGUGCCCCAGAUCUCCCCUUUCACGCACCCUGAAGCACAUCUGGAGGAGAACUACUGCCGCAACCCUGAUAAUGACAGCCAUGGCCCCUGGUGCUACACUAUGGACCCCCGCACCCCUUUCGACUACUGUGCCAUCAAGCCCUGCUCUGGCAGCGCAGUGCCCUCUGUCCUGGAGAACGCAGACGCAGUGGCGUUUAAGGAGUGUGGCCAGCGGGAUGAGAGGCUGCAGUACAAAGGGCGCAUCAUUGGUGGCCAGCCCGGCAACUCGCCCUGGACUGUCAGCAUCCGCAACCGGGCCGGUGUGCACUUCUGCGGGGGGUCCCUGGUGGAGGAGCAGUGGGUGAUCAGCACGCGACAGUGCUUCUCCUCCUGCGAUGCCGACCUCAUGGGCUAUGAGGUACACCUGGGGAUGCUCUUCAAGGACCCUGGCCCCAAGGACCCUGAACUGCAGACCAUCCCCAUCACACGGAUUGUCUGCGGCCCCUCCGAGUCCCAGCUGGUGAUGCUGAAGCUGGCGAGGCCAGCGACUCUGAACAGGCGCGUGGCCCUGAUCUGCCUCCCACCCGAGCGCUAUGUCGUGCCCGCGGGCACCGUCUGCGAGAUCGCCGGCUGGGGGGAGACCAGAGCACCUCCCUUACGUGGCAUUUUCCUGCCUGCGCCAGCCCUCUGCCCACGGCAUCACCCCUGUCCACAACACCCUCCUGCCCACUCCAUUCCCCAUCAACAGCAUCCCCUGCCUGCAGUACUCCCUGUGAGAGCGCUCCUGCAAAGGCAUUACUUUCUAUGUUGUGUGCCCGCUGCCAUGGUACCCUCCUACCCGUGCCACCCCAAUGCCAUGGCAUUCUCCUGCCUAUGCCAUCCCAAUGCCAUGGCACCCCCCUGCCUGUGCCAUCCCCACUGCCAUGUCGUCCCCCGCUGGUGCCUCCCCUGCCUGCAGGCACAGCGGACGGUGGCGUGCUGAACGUGGCGCAGCUGCCGGUGCUGGCCCACGGCGAGUGCAACGCGGCGCUGCGCGGGCGCGUGAAGGACAGCGAGCUGUGCACAGCCCCACUGCGUGCCGGCGUGGGGGCCUGCGAGGGAGAUUACGGGGGACCGCUGGCUUGCCUCACUGCUGACUGCUGGGUGCUGGAGGGGGUGAUCACCCCAUCCCGCGUCUGUGCCCGCACCGACCAGCCCGCCCUCUUCAUCCGUGUGUCCCUCUACGUUGACUGGAUCUACAAGGUGAUGAAGAUGGGCUGAGCUGGCUUGGCACAGCCGCCACCGCGCAAUAAAGGCACAGCCGUGGCCGUGGCAGUCAGCACUGCA